rnacentral:rRNA from 1 species
ACGGGUGAGUAACACGUAUCCAACCUUUCCCUUACUCGGGUAUAGCCUCGGGAAACUGAGAGUAAUCCCCGAUGAAGUGUACGAUAAGCAUUUUUUGCACACCAAAGAUUUAUCGGUAAGGGGUGGGGAUGCGUUCCAUUAGGUAGUAGGCGGGGCAACGGCCCACCUAGCCGAUGAUGGAUAGGGGUUCUGAGAGGAAGGUCCCCCACAUUGGAACUGCGACACGGUCCAAACUCCUACGGGAGGCAGCAGUGAGGAAUAUUGGUCAAUGGUCGGAAGACUGAACCAGCCAAGUAGCGUGCAGGAUGACGGCCCUAUGGGUUGUAAACUGCUUUUGUGCGGGAAUAACGUUGUGCUCGUGAGCGCAAGUGCAUGUACCGUACGAAUAAGGAUCGGCUAACUCCGUGCCAGCAGCCGCGGUAAUACGGAGGAUCCGAGCGUUAUCCGGAUUUAUUGGGUUUAAAGGGAGCGUAGGCGGGAGAUCAAGUCAGCUGUGAAAUGUAGACGCUCAACGUCUGCACUGCAGUUGAAACUGGUUUUCUUGAGUGCGUAAGGGGCAGGCGGAAUUCGUCGUGUAGCGGUGAAAUGCUUAGAUAUGACGAAGAACUCCGAUCGCGAAGGCAGCUUGCCGGGCCGCAACUGACGCUGAAGCUCGAAGGUGCGGGUAUCGAACAGGAUUAGAUACCCUGGUAGUCCGCACAGUAAACGAUGGAUACUCGCUGUCGGCGAUAUACGGUCGGUGGCCAAGCGAAAGCGUUAAGUAUCCCACCUGGGGAGUACGCCGGCAACGGUGAAACUCAAAGGAAUUGACGG